rnacentral:rRNA from 1 species
CAGGCCUAACACAUGCAAGUCGAACGGUAACAGGAAGCAGCUUGCUGCUUCGCUGACGAGUGGCGGACGGGUGAGUAAUGUCUGGGAAACUGCCCGAUGGAGGGGGAUAACUACUGGAAACGGUAGCUAAUACCGCAUAAUGUCGCAAGACCAAAGAGGGGGACCUUCGGGCCUCUUGCCAUCGGAUGUGCCCAGAUGGGAUUAGCUUGUUGGUGAGGUAACGGCUCACCAAGGCGACGAUCCCUAGCUGGUCUGAGAGGAUGACCAGCCACACUGGAACUGAGACACGGUCCAGACUCCUACGGGAGGCAGCAGUGGGGAAUAUUGCACAAUGGGCGCAAGCCUGAUGCAGCCAUGCCGCGUGUAUGAAGAAGGCCUUCGGGUUGUAAAGUACUUUCAGCGGGGAGGAAGGUGUUGUGGCUAAUAACCGCAACAAUUGACGUUACCCGCAGAAGAAGCACCGGCUAACUCCGUGCCAGCAGCCGCGGUAAU